rnacentral:lncRNA from 1 species
UUGUUAGAGGGCUCUUAAGUCAUCCUUUCUCCUUCUGAACUAGCCGUUGCUCAUCUGCUCAUGUCUGUGGCUGCAGCAAUUAAUGCCAGUUUCAGGUCUCGCUUUGUCACCCAGGCUGGAGCGCAGUGGUUUGAUCUCAGCUCACUGCAGCCUCGACUUCCCCAGGCUCAGAUAAGGAGACCAAGAUGUGAAGAGGAAAGGUGAAUGCUAAGGUGGAGCCAGGCCUGCAACCCAGGUCUCCUAUCUCCUGGCCCAGGCUUUUGCCUCCUGCCACGUUGCCUACUGUGAGCAGUUGGGUCCCGAGGAAAGAGAAGAGCAGAGAGGAGUGUGAGUGCAUAAGCCUGAAGAUAGAGGGUACAGUGGUUCAUUGAGAGAUUUUGGAGUCAGCAGAUCUGAUCUUACACUUACCUGUUAUGAAGAUUUUGACAAGUAAUUUCAUCUUCUCAGAGCCUAACUUCCCAGCUAUAACAUAAGAAAAAGAGGACCUUCUUAUAGUAGACACAGACCCAACAGGAGCAGAGUGGUACCUGACCUGGCACAGAGUAGGCGCUCGGAAUCCUGUGUCCAGUGACUUGAAUAUCCAUCAGACUGGAUGUUAGAGCUGUGGGGAUGUGGCACUCACCCUGGAACUACUACUAGUUGCUAUGCAGCCCAUUCCCAUCUCUGUGAACAACCUGAAUUGUCCACCUUCCUUCAAUCUAAAAAUUCUACUCAUCCAUCAAGGAGCUCAAUGCCCUGAGUAUGUGAGGAGAGGGCUGCUUUGGAGUUGGACAGACUUGAGUUCAAGUCCUGGCUCUUCCAUGUGGUACUCAUGUGACGUAGGCCAAGUCAUAUAACUUUCUUGAGCUUCAGUUUCCAUAAAAUGGCAAACACAUGGUGCUCAUUA